rnacentral:rRNA from 1 species
AUGGUUGAGGACAAAAAUCCAUCACAAGAUAUGGUAGACAUAGCUGGACAUGUAGAGCAGGAGGAUCCUUCUUAUGAAAAGGACAUCGUGGAGAUCAAAUUGCCAGACAGUGUUGCUUCUUUUGAUUAUGGUGGUAAUUUUGUCAAAGAUGUCUGCAUUGAUGACGGACAACCUCUUCCUCGGAAGAUUUCAGAAGAUAAAGUAGUAGAUGAAAAGUCAUCUCCAAAUUUUGAUUGUCAAAUGAUACACGCAAAUGGUGCUCCGACGUACAUAGAAAAAGAUUGUGCUGCAAAAUCUUUCCACAAACCGAAACCAGAAGCAGUUCAACCUGUUCAUUUUGCUCCUGAUAGUAACAAUGAGAAACGAUAUUCUUCUUGUGAAAAACAUGAUCCUGAAGGCAGGAGUAAAGCCACUAAUUUUGGUGAUCUCAGUGAGAGGAAAAUAAGUUUGGAAGAAUUACUUAGACUCGAAAGUGCAGAAGAGUCCCUGCAUAAAGGUGCAAUAAGCUCUGAAACCAGUAAAAAUCAUAUGCCAUCUUUCCAUGGAGCAGCAGUCGGGCAGGUUUCCGCAAAUGUGGGUCAUGGAGUCGAAGCUAUUGCAUCCAAAACCAGUAGUCUUGUUAAUGAUAUUGUAUCAAGUAAGAACAACAUUAAUGAUUGCUCAGUAACAACCUCUGAAGAAUGUGAUGCAGCGGCAUCAUUUGAUGCGAGAGGACAGAACCUAAUUGAUCACUAUAAUCCUUUUGUUGGUCAUGGGUUCCUAGAGGAUACAUGUAAACCAGAAUGCUCUACAUCAGCAAUCGCAGAUGCUGCUUCGACUGGACCUAUCUGCACUUUCGAGAAGACUGAUACUAUUAGUGCUGAAGGAUUUAAUGAAGUCAAAAUAACUGAACCUAGGGUUGAUGCUCUGAGUUCUCUAGGUUCAGAGAUCCGAUCGUCUGCGAAGAGCAAUGAUCAGAAUGGAAGUAUUACGGGUGAAACAAUAACCAACAAGAUGCAUGAAACAGAAGCAGCUACAACUUCAUCAGCUGAAAAUGUAGAGCCCAAUGGAGCAAAUGGGGAGAAUAGUGAAAAACAUGAGACUGGUGGUACCGCCGAUAUACAUGGUUCCAGCCAGAUAGAUGAAGGAACUAAUGAUGACGCGGUUAGUAGGAGUCCUGUGCUGGCACAACAUGAUAAUGUGUGCGAACAGAAUGCACCUGAUAGUGCAAAAGCGCCAUCUCGAACUGGAAACGGUUACCCCCCCUUUGAACCGGGUUUUGGUCCUAGUAUUAUGUCUGCUCCAGUGUCAAACUCUGGCCAUCUUGCUUAUUCUGGCAAUAUCUCCAUCCGGUCAGAUAGUAGCACGACCAGCACCCGGUCCUUUGCAUUUCCAGUAGUGCAGAAGGACUGGAUCAGCAGCCCGGUGAGGAUGGCGAAAGGAGACCGGAGGCGCACCAGGCGGCGCCGAGGCUGGAGGAAGGGGCUUCUCUGCUGUAAAUUCUGA